UACGUAGGGUGCGAGCGUUGUCCGGAAUUAUUGGGCGUAAAGAGCUUGUAGGCGGUUUGUCGCGUCUGCUGUGAAAUUCCGGGGCUCAACUCCGGACUUGCAGUGGGUACGGGCAGGCUAGAGUGUGGUAGGGGAGACUGGAAUUCCUGGUGUAGCGGUGAAAUGCGCAGAUAUCAGGAGGAACACCGAUGGCGAAGGCAGGUCUCUGGGCCAUUACUGACGCUGAGAAGCGAAAGCGUGGGGAGCAAACAGG
rnacentral:rRNA from 1 species